ensembl:lncRNA LINC01539 long intergenic non-protein coding RNA 1539
GAUGAAUAGAAUGAGCAAAAGUUGCAGCACAGCGUGUCACCAGAGAGGAAAAGAAUAUCCUUGCUGUGCCAAGAAAGAAAAGACCAUGGAUCUACUAGUUGCAGAUUUCAGCAGUAAUGCCAAGGGGGCAAGAAGUGACCAGCAGAACAAUUAGGCCAUGGCAACAGAAGCCAACUACAACCCAUGUUCCAAUCUAUGACCUCCCUCUCCUGCUGGUACAAGGAUAUGGGCAAGAGCUGAUAAUCAACUGACUAAUGAGGAUUGACUUCUACAAUUGAUGAGCAUGGAAUUGGAUGUGCCUAAAUCAACAGAAGAGGGAUUUUGAUGUCAUCACACUGUAGCCCCAGAAGACAGAACGCUCAAAGGUGUCAAUGGGCAGAAUUUGUAGAUGACAUACAGCAUCCAAUGGAUUACUCCUAUUCAGUAUUCCUUAGAGCAAAGGAUGCAAUGUCAAGCAAGUUGUGAUACCUCAACUAUCUACAAUUUAACACCAAGGAAAGAACACUGUUUGGAGAAAUGAGAAAGAUUAUCAUCAGUGUCUUUCAGAAGUCAUCAAAAGAAGAAAAGGAGAAAAGAGAGGAGAAAGCAGAAAGAUCUGGAGUCUGGGAAGUUCAAGAGCAUGGCACCAACAUCUGGCAAGGGCUUUCAUUCUGCAUCAUCUCAUGGAGGAAAAUAAAAAGGAGGCUGGAUGCUCCUGUGAAGUACGUCUUUUAUCUACUUGCUAUCUUUGCAAUUCCUUCAUGCUACAAUGAGAGAUAGAGUUUAAACCUGAAAACAUUCUUGGAAAAGGAAUCUUCAUUAAUUCAAAUAUACCACAAGUGUCUUCCAGAGUCCUCACGAGUAUCAGAGAAGGCAUAAUCUGUACACGUGGCUUCAUUUAAAAUGAAAAUAUCAAGCAGUGUCAUUUUCACAAGUAUCCCCACACUGUCUGAGGCUGAAAAGAAGAGUGUAGCUAUGCACACUGCAGUGAGAAGAAAAUUUCAGCUCAAUUGGAGGAUGUAAAGAUUGAAAUACCACUGCUCCUAGUUCUGAUGCAAAAUUGAAAAGAGUGCACUGGGUCUUCAAAUGGCAUAUUGACAAGGAGAAAGAGGAAAGGAUGCCCCAGGACAGCCUGGGGGUCAAGGCUGGGCUCAGGCAUGCCUGGACAAGCCAUGCAAGUUGUCUCCGGACUUGAACCACGUAUCAGAGGAGCUAUUUGAGGAGCCACAUCAGCAUACCUGCUUCUGUGGGCCCCCAGGCUGUGGUGCUCAGCCCUUGCACUAUGAAACAUUUUUUUUUUCCAGAAGCCAAAGCUUUGAGCAUCUCCUCCCAUGUAGAGAGUGUAUAUGUUUACGUCCAUGUCUUUCGCCAUGUGAACGCAUGCAACCACCACCUCAAAUAUCAUAAAUCCUCUCUCUCCCCCUUUCUGUCUGCCUGUUUAUCUACAAUCUGUCUAUUUAAAUUCUUUUUAAACAAGAAGGGAAUAUCUUUAUGCCUGUUUGUAGGGAUAUUCUACAUCCAUCUGUUAUUUACAUCAUUCGUUUUCCUGAGGUGUCUCCAACAAAUCCUGGCUGGAUGCACUGUAUGUGUUAUUAAUAAAACAGCUGUAAAAAUA